CUCCACAUACGCAUCCUUUGCUGAGGAGACGGUUAACGGAGCGAAAGCGACGUUCAACCUCAAAAGAAGCAGAGGGGGCUUAGUGGUGGGGUGACUGCGUACCUUUUGUAUAAUGGGUCAGCGACUUAUAUUCUGUAGCAAGGUUAACUGUAUAGGGGAGCCGGAGGGAAACCGAGUCUUAACCGGGCGUUAAGUUGCAGGGUAUAGACCCGAAACCCGGUGAUCUAGCCAUGGGCAGGUUGAAGGUUGGGUAACACUAACUGGAGGACCGAACCGACUAAUGUUGAAAAAUUAGCGGAUGACCUGUGGCUGGGGGUGAAAGGCCAAUCAAACCGGGAGAUAGCUGGUUCUCCCCGAAAGCUAUUUAGGUAGCGCCUCGUGAAUUCAUCUCCGGGGGUAGAGCACUGUUUCGGCUAGGGGGCCAUCCCGGCUUACCAACCCGAUGCAAACUGCGAAUACCGGAGAAUGUUAUCACGGGAGACACACGGCGGGUGCUAAUGUCCGUCGUGAAGAGGGAAACAACCCAGACCGCCAGCUAAGGUCCCAAAGUCAUGGUUAAGUGGGAAACGAUGUGGGAAGGCCCAGACAGCCAGGAUGUUGGCUUAGAAGCAGCCAUCAUUUAAAGAAAGCGUAAUAGCUCACUGGUCGAGUCGGCCUGCGCGGAAGAUGUAACGGGGCUAAACCAUGCACCGAAGCUGCGGCAGCGACACCGUGUGUUGUUGGGUAGGGGAGCGUUCUGUAAGCCUGUGAAGGUGUGCUGUGAGGCAUGCUGGAGGUAUCAGAAGUGCGAAUGCUGACAUAAGUAACGAUAAAGCGGGUGAAAAGCCCGCUCGCCGGAAGACCAAGGGUUCCUGUCCAACGUUAAUCGGGGCAGGGUGAGUCGACCCCUAAGGCGAGGCCGAAAGGCGUAGUCGAUGGGAAACGGGUUAAUAUUCCCGUACUUGGUGUUACUGCGAAGGGGGGACGGAGAAGGCUAUGUUGGCCGGGCGACGGUUGUCCCGGUUUAAGCGUGUAGGUAUGUGUUCCAGGUAAAUCCGGUUCACUUUAACACUGAGGCGUGACGACGAGGCACUACGGUGCUGAAGCAACAAAUGCCCUGCUUCCAGGAAAAGCCUCUAAGCAUCAGGUAACAUCAAAUCGUACCCCAAACCGACACAGGUGGUCAGGUAGAGAAUACCAAGGCGCUUGAGAGAACUCGGGUGAAGGAACUAGGCAAAAUGGUGCCGUAACUUCGGGAGAAGGCACGCUGACACGUAGGUGAAGUGAUUUACUCACGGAGCUGAAGUCAGCCGAAGAUACCAGCUGGCUGCAACUGUUUAUUAAAAACACAGCACUGUGCAAACACGAAAGUGGACGUAUACGGUGUGACGCCUGCCCGGUGCCGGAAGGUUAAUUGAUGGGGUCAGCGCAAGCGAAGCUCCUGAUCGAAGCCCCGGUAAACGGCGGCCGUAACUAUAACGGUCCUAAGGUAGCGAAAUUCCUUGUCGGGUAAGUUCCGACCUGCACGAAUGGCGUAAUGAUGGCCAGGCUGUCUCCACCCGAGACUCAGUGAAAUUGAACUCGCUGUGAAGAUGCAGUGUACCCGCGGCAAGACGGAAAGACCCCGUGAACCUUUACUAUAGCUUGACACUGAACAUUGAGCCUUGAUGUGUAGGAUAGGUGGGAGGCUU
rnacentral:rRNA from 1 species